rnacentral:rRNA from 1 species
GGGAACGUGCCCUUCGGUUCGGAAUAACUCAGGGAAACUUGAGCUAAUACCGGAUACGCCCUUAUGGGGAAAGGCUUGACUGCCGAAGGAUCGGCCCGCGUCUGAUUAGCUAGUUGGUGAGGUUACGGCUCACCAAGGCGACGAUCAGUAGCUGGUCUGAGAGGAUGAUCAGCCACACUGGGACUGAGACACGGCCCAGACUCCUACGGGAGGCAGCAGUGGGGAAUAUUGGACAAUGGGGGCAACCCUGAUCCAGCCAUGCCGCGUGAGUGAUGACGGCCUUAGGGUUGUAAAGCUCUUUUCUCCGGGACGAUAAUGACGGUACCGGAGGAAUAAGCCCCGGCUAACUUCGUGCCAGCAGCCGCGGUAAUACGAAGGGGGCUAGCGUUGCUCGGAAUCACUGGGCGUAAAGGGCGCGUAGGCGGCUGAUUUAGUCGAGGGUGAAAGCCCGUGGCUCAACCACGGAAUGGCCUUCGAUACUGGUUGGCUCGAGACCGGAAGAGGACAGCGGAACUGCGAGU